AACGAACGCUGGCGGCAUGCCUAACACAUGCAAGUCGAACGAGACCUUCGGGUCUAGUGGCGCACGGGUGCGUAACGCGUGGGAACCUGCCCUUAGGUUCGGAAUAACUCCCCGAAAGGGGUGCUAAUACCGGAUAAUGUCUUCGGACCAAAGAUUUAUCGCCUUUGGAUGGGCCCGCGUUGGAUUAGCUAGUUGGUAGGGUAAAAGCCUACCAAGGCGACGAUCCAUAGCUGGUCUGAGAGGAUGAUCAGCCACACUGGGACUGAGACACGGCCCAGACUCCUACGGGAGGAAGCAGUGGGGAAUAUUGGAAAAUGGGAGAAAGCCUGAUACAGCAAUGCCGCGUGAGUGAUGAAGGCCUUAGGGUUGUAAAGCUCUUUUACCCGGGAUGAUAAUGACAGUACCGGGAGAAUAAGCUCCGGCUAACUCCGUG
rnacentral:rRNA from 1 species